AAGUCGUAACAAGGUUUCCGUAGGUGAACCUGCGGAAGGAUCAUUAUUGAAUAUUCCUGAUGAGUUGUAGCUGGCUCUUUGGAGCAUGUGCACGCUUGUCUUGAUCUUAUUCAUCCACCUGUGCACAUUUUGUAGUCUUUUGGGCUGAGUCGAGUAUCGGAUGGAUGUCUAUCCGGAUGUGAGGACUGCUGAGUGCGAAAGCAUACGGCUCUUCUCUGUUUGACCUCACCCUUGAGUACUAUGUAUUCAUAUACCACAUAGUAUGUUGUAGAAUGUGAUCAUUGGGCCUUUGUGCCUAUAAUAAUCAUAUACAACUUUCAGCAACGGAUCUCUUGGCUCUCGCAUCGAUGAAGAACGCAGCGAAAUGCGAUAAGUAAUGUGAAUUGCAGAAUUCAGUGAAUCAUCGAAUCUUUGAACGCACCUUGCGCUCCUUGGUAUUCCGAGGAGCAUGCCUGUUUGAGUGUCAUUAAAUUCUCAACCCCACUAGCUUUUGUGAGCUAUGCUGGGGCUUGGAUGUUGGGAGUUUGCGGGCCUUUACUAGGUCGGCUCUCCUGAAAUACAUUAGCGGAACCGUUUGCAGCCCCGUCACUAGUGUGAUAAUUAUCUACACUGUGAUGACUGCUCUCUGACUAGUUCAGCUGCUAAUCGUCCACUGUGGACAAUCAUUAAUGAACUUCUUGACCUCAAAUCAGGUAGGACUACCCGCUGAACUUAAGCAUAUCAAUAAGCGGAGGAAAAGAAACUAACAAGGAUUCCCCUAGUAACUGCGAGUGAAGCGGGAAAAGCUCAAAUUUAAAAUCUGGUGGUCUUUGGCCAUCCGAGUUGUAAUUUAGAGAA
rnacentral:misc_RNA from 1 species